GUUGGUGUGAGAGAGGUCGACUGUUCACCACGGCCAGGGUUUAAACACACAAAGUGUUCCUGGAUUAUCCUCUUCAAACAGCUCUCUGUGUUAGUGAUUUACUCUUUUGGCACUGGCCGUUCCCGAAGUUGAGGCCCUGAAACAUUUAUCCUCCUCUUCAGUUGGAACAUGACCUCACAGCCUUCUCUUGUGUAGAGUGACGGAACAACCUUUGAUGUCCUUCCUUUGCCUCUCACAGCCACGUGACCAGUGAGGAGGCGACUGAGGAAGAGGGAGCCAUUGUGACAUUGGAAGUGCUGGUCCAGAACAAUAACUCCCACUAAGCCCAUGAUGAGGAUGAAUAAAGCUUCUCAGGAGAACGGGAAGGCUCCUGGGGACCUUCUAUGACACUGUGAUGGCAUCGCGGGCAGCAUUAUGGACAGGGACAGGAAGAGGCUGGACAGACUGGUGAAGAGGACCAGCUCAGUCCUGGGCUGCUGAUCCUACUCGGUGGAGGACGAUGGAAACAGGAAUGAAAGUUCAAUGCAAAUUACUUGAGAAGAAAUACAGAUAAUUUUCACUGUAAAAAAAAAGAAAUUAAUAAAACAGCUGAAACGCAUAAAGAAACGCUUAAAAUUACAAAUAAAACCAUCAAUCAAUAAAAUAUCAUUAAAAAUCGAAAUUAUUUUAGAAAAUGCUGGCAAAGUUGACCAAAAACAAUGAUAGAAAUAGAUUGGGUGUGGCUUUAAUAUGGCUUGAACAAACUGGAUGAGUUGUUUUAGAGAGG